UACGAAGGGGGCUAGCGUUGCUCGGAAUCACUGGGCGUAAAGCGCACGUAGGCGGAUCUUUAAGUCAGGGGUGAAAUCCUGGAGCUCAACUCCAGAACUGCCUUUGAUACUGGAGAUCUCGAGUCCGGAAGAGGUGAGUGGAACUCCGAGUGUAGAGGUGAAAUUCGUAGAUAUUCGCAAGAACACCAGCGGCGAAGGCGGCUCACUGGCCCGAUACUGACGCUGAGGCACGAAAGCGUGGGGAGCAAACAGG
rnacentral:rRNA from 1 species